rnacentral:sRNA from 1 species
UUGAGGCGAAGAGUUUGAUCAGAAGGUC